GACUGGCCCCUGGGAUUUUCUGCUCAGGACCCGAGUUCACUGAGACAUCAGGAGCAAGCACUGGAGGCCGGUGCUGCUGGACCCAGAUGGGCGCCAUGCAGGACUUGACCAUGGCCUGCACACACUUCUUCCCAGGAGAAGGGGAAUGAGGAAAGUGGGGGGCCUCAAAGCUUCCUUUCCUUUCUGUUUGUCUUGCUAUGUUUUUAUAUUCCUUUUUAUCCAUUUAAUUAUUUAGUACAAAAUCAGGUCCAGUCUCCUUAGAUAUGGCAUUGAUAUAAAGUGUAAAAUGGAAGCUAAAUUCUAGGAGUACAGCAUUGCAUGCUUCUGACAGAGACAAGGAAGGCUAGAAUCACACAGUUAGUGGACACUGCAACUAUAUUGACAUUUUUUUUUUUUUAGACUGUGAAGGUGGGGACAGAUUGCUGCACUCAGAACACCUUCCCUGCUCUGGGGAAACAAACACUGUCAUCAUGGGGAAAAUGUUUCCUGUAGACCCACACAAGCACACACCCCUCCUCCUACAUCCAGCUUCUCCUCAGCCAUUUUGAAGCAGGGAAGAUCAGGGGGAUUCAUGAAUGGCGAAAUUUGGCCUUUUUUAGUGUAUUUCUCUCCUUCUGUAGGCAGACUGGCAUCACCUGACCCUUCAGAGUAUUAACUCAGACCCUGGUGACUGAGGUCCAGUACCAAGUGCUCAGCUGGGCUGCGGUGCAGGGACAGGAAGCAGAAGGGCAGAUUCAACCCCCCUCAGCUGGCCAUGCUAAUCUACUAGCUGGUGUCCUAGGGCAGCAAGGCGCCUCCCUCUCCAGGAUCUGAUGAGAAAACACUGCAGUUCCAGUUUCUUUCGGGGCUUGAAGAGAAGUCAAGGAAGCCCUGCAAGGCACUCACAGCUGAUCAUGCUUUCUGUAAUCGCCCUCCAUCUUCCUUCAUUGCUAGGAAUCAUUGGAAGGACAACAGCGGAGCUGUGAGUUUUGAAACCGCGUCCUCAUGGGGGCAGUAGAGGUCCACACAAGAGCUUAACUGGCCCCUGGGAUUUGCUGCUCAGAACCUGAGUUCACUGAGACAUCAGGAGCAAGUACUGGAGGCCGGUGCUGCUGGACCCAGAUGGGAGCCAUGCGGGACUUGACCAUGGCCUGCACACACUUCUUCCCAGGAGAAGGGGAGUGAGGAAGAACCGGCCCCUGGGAUUUGCUGCUCAGGACCCGAGUUCACUGAGACAUCAGGAGCAAGCACUGGAGGCCGGGUGCUGCUGGACCCAGAUGGGAGCCAUGCAGGACUUGACCAUGGCCUGCACACACUUCUUCCCAGGAGAAGGGGAAUGAGGAAGAAAGGCUCAUGGCGUCUAUGUCGUAAAUGAGCUGUGGAUUUGCUAUGCCCCUUCUCUUCAGCAACCCUUAUUUUUCUUGCCUGUACAUCUCUACUGUGGGAAUCACAGGGAAGCUGCUGCAGCACAACUUGAAAUAGAAAGCUGGAUGGUAUGAAUUUAGGACAAGAACAUGAGAAGAAGGGCUCCAGAGAGGAUUCAUUAAGAGCAUUUUCUGCUCUUCCAGAAGCAUCCGAGUUUGGUGUGGGCACCCAAGUCAUUAGGCUCAGAGCUGCUUGGUCUGGAUCCCCUAGGGUUGCCACCAGGAUCACCAGAAAGUUUGUUAAAUAGAGAAGCACUUGAUAGAAGGCACCUGGAUAAGGAUGGACAGAAAUCAGAGGCCUUGGCUAUCUGGAUUCUGACUUCUUCAAAAAGAUGAGAUGAUAGAUGAGAGUGGGUGCCUUAGAUCUCACUUCCUUUUCUUUAACAUAUUUUUGUUGCUGGGAUGAGAUUCUAGCCAUUCCUAAUAUAAAUACUAUUGAAAGC
rnacentral:lncRNA from 1 species